rnacentral:rRNA from 1 species
UUACGCUGUUAUCCCUUAUGUAAUUUAGUCUUAUAAUCAAUAAAAAUGGAUCAAAUAAAUAUAAAUAAAUAUAAAAAAACAAAAAGAGUUAGUUUAAUCUUCUCAUCACCCCAACAAAAUAAAUUUUUACAUUAAAAAUUAUCAAACAAAAAAAAUAAAAAUAUAUAAAACUCUAUAGGGUCUUCUCGUCCCAAAAAAACAUUUAGGCAUUUUAACCUAAAAUUUAAAUUCAAUAAAAAAAAUUAAAGACAGUUAACACCUCGUCAAACCAUUCAUUCCAGCCUACAAUUAAAAGACUAAUGAUUAUGCUACCUUUGCACGGUCAAAAUACCGCGGCCCUUCAAUAUUCAGUGGGCAGGCCAUACAUCAAAAUAUAUUCAAGAAGAGAUGUUUUUGAUAAACAGGCG